AUUGAACGCUGGCGGCAGGCCUAACACAUGCAAGUCGAACGGUAACAGGAAACAGCUUGCUGUUUCGCUGACGAGUGGCGGACGGGUGGGUAAUGUCUGGGAAACUGCCGGAUGGAGGGGGAUAACUACUGGAAACGGUAGCUAAUACCGCAUAACGUCGCAAGACCAAAGAGGGGGACCUUCGGGCCUCUUGCCAUCGGAUGUGCCCAGAUGGGAUUAGCUAGUAGGUGGGGUAACGGCUCACCUAGGCGACGAUCCCUAGCUGGUCUGAGAGGAUGACCAGCCACACUGGAACUGAGACACGGUCCAGACUCCUACGGGAGGCAGCAGUGGGGAAUAUUGCACAAUGGGCGCAAGCCUGAUGCAGCCAUGCCGCGUGUAUGAAGAAGGCCUUCGGGUUGUAAAGUACUUUCAGCGGGGAGGAAGGGAGUAAAGUUAAUACCUUUACUCAUUGACGUUACCCGCAGAAGAAGCACCGGCUAACUCCGUG
rnacentral:rRNA from 1 species